rnacentral:pre_miRNA from 7 species
AUUUGCACUUGAAAGACCCCCGAAGGGAGACCCUCACUCAAGCCUCGGGACAGCCGCGGACCCAAGAAGACACUGAGACCG